rnacentral:rRNA from 1 species
ACGUAGUUGAUCCGUGGCUCAGGACGAACGCUGGCGGCGUGCUUCAUACAUGCAAGUCGAACGAGAAGUCUACUUCGGUAGAUGGAAAGUGGCGGACGGGUGAGUAAUAUGUAGAGAAUCUGCCCUAGAGAGGGGGACAACAGAGGGAAACUUCUGCUAAUACCCCAUAUGAGCGUACCUGAAAUGGUAUUCUUGAAAACUCCGGUGCUCUAGGAUGAGUCUGCAUCUGAUUAGCUAGUUGGGGGUGUAAUGGACCACCAAGGCGACGAUCAGUAGCUGGUUUGAGAGGAUGAUCAGCCACAAUGGGACUGAGACACGGCCCAUACUCCUACGGGAGGCAGCAGUAGGGAAUUUUGCGCAAUGGGCGAAAGCCUGACGCAGCAACGCCGCGUGAUUGAUGAAGCCCUUCGGGGUGUAAAGAUCUGUCAGUGGGGACGAAACUUGACGGUACCCACAGAGGAAGCAUCGGCUAACUCCGUG